rnacentral:lncRNA from 1 species
UUUGGAAGCAUUGAUCAAUCCAAAAUUUUCAGGAAUAAUUAAAGAAAAAGCUAAAUUACAGAAAAUAUUCUUGUCAAUACUUUUUUUUUAUUUUUUUUCUUCUGUUAUUUAAAAAUCUAUAUUUUGCCAUUUAAAAAAAUCAGAAAUAUUCACUCUGGCCUCUGCCGUCAGUAUUCCGUUAGGAUUCCAUUUAUAUUCUAUUAUAAUAUAUUUUUUAUACUCAAAAUACUCUCAGCCUCCUCUUCUGAUCGGUAUUGCCGCCUUCCUUCUCGCCACCCACGCCGCCUCGCCCUACUUCGCCACUUUUCCCUCCUUCGCUGCCUCGCCCUCGCCGACCCCUCCAUCCGUGCUCACACAUACGCUCUCGCGCUCCUUUGCCGUCUCGCCCUCGCCCUCGUCCUCGCCCUCGCUCACCUCUCCAUCUAUGCUCACCCCAAUCUCCUCCUACCAUUGCCGAAAUGAAGGAGCGACGAGGGUGCAGGAGGAGUGGAGGAGCAGGUGGAGAAAAUGGAGUUGGAGUUGCAAUUGAGCGAGGUGCGAAGAACAGAAGAGGACAGAUGAUGGUCGAGCAAGAUUGGAGACGAAGAUGGUGAAGGCAAUUUGUUCAUUUCGCUAUUACAAUUAACACCGUAUCCCCUGUGAACAUUUCUAAUUUUUUAAUGAGGUAAAAUGCAGGUUUUUAAAUGCCAGCGAAAAAAGUGAAAAAACGAGUAUUUACAAAAAAAUUUUAUAUAAUUUAACCUAAAAAAAAAAUUAAAAAUAUA